rnacentral:rRNA from 1 species
GUUUGAUCCUGGCUCAGGACGAACGCUGGCGGCGGGCUUAACACAUGCAAGUCGAAGGAGAAGGGGAGUGCUUGCACUUCCUGGAGACUGGCGGACGGGUGAGUAACGCGUAGCUAACCUGCCUUUAACUGGGGGAUAACAUUCCGAAAGGGGUGCUAAUACCGCAUAAAGCAACUGGAUCGCAUGAUCCUGGUUGUUAAAAAUUUCGAUUGGUUAAAGAGGGGGCUGCGUGCUAUUAGUUAGUUGGUGAGGUAACGGCUCACCA